UGCAGUCGAGCGGCAGCGCGGGAGCAAUCCUGGCGGCGAGCGGCGAACGGGUGAGUAAUGCUUCGGAAUCUGCCCUUCAGUGGGGAAUAACCAGUCGAAAGACUGGCUAAUACCGCAUACGAACUGAGGUUGAAAGCAGGGGAUCGCAAGACCUUGCGCUGAUGGAUGAGCCGAAGUCGGAUUAGCUUGUUGGUGGGGUAAUGGCCUACCAAGGCGACGAUCCGUAGCUGGUCUGAGAGGACGACCAGCCACACUGGGACUGAGACACGGCCCAGACUCCUACGGGAGGCAGCAGUGGGGAAUAUUGGACAAUGGGGGCAACCCUGAUCCAGCGACGCCGCGUGUGUGAAGAAGGCCUGCGGGUUGUAAAGCACUUUUAGUGGGGAGGAAGGUCUGCGACCUAACACGUCGUGGAAUUGACUUAACCCACAGAAAAAGCACCGGCUAACUCUGUGCCAGCAGCCGCGGUAAU
rnacentral:rRNA from 1 species